GGAGGGUGCAAGCGUUAUCCGGAUUCACUGGGUUUAAAGGGUGCGUAGGUGGGCAGGUAAGUCAGUGGUGAAAUCUCUGGGCUUAACUCAGAAACUGCCAUUGAUACUAUCUGUCUUGAAUACCGUGGAGGUCAGCGGAAUAUGUCAUGUAGCGGUGAAAUGCUUAGAUAUGACAUAGAACACCAAUUGCGAAGGCAGCUGGCAACACGAAUAUUGACACUGAUGCACGAAAGCGUGGGGAUCAAACAGG
rnacentral:rRNA from 1 species